AAAUAGAAUGACUACUAGCUUGUAUUCUAGCAUGAUCUCGCUAUGAGUUUUGGCAAAAAUCAUCCUUGGACUAGAUCAUAAACCUAAAGUACAUCCUUGUGAUGUUUUAGCGAACAAAAAAUAUCCUUAUACUAUUUAAGCUAUUGCAAAAAUUAUUCUUUCGUUAAGUUUUGUCAAGAAAACUAACGCCUAAGCAAAAGAGCAUGCCAAGCACGUGGAUUUUCCCCUAAAUUUUUCAAAAAUACCCUCCUGCCCAAUUAUCUUCCACCUUCACCAAAAAAGACUAAGGCUUUAAAAAUAAAGUUUGUUUCCAAAUGAACUUCAAAGAAUUAUCAAGGGCAAACUCUUGAGUAAAAAGAGAAGCAAGGGCUAUUUUUUCACGCCGCACAAACAAGCAACAGUGGAAUAGACUAAUGUAAGAUCCUUCAUGUGAUUCAAAAAAACUCUCGAAAAAAGUGCUUGAUCGCGAAGUACAAUUUAAAGAUCGUUGCAACAAUGAGAAGCAAAUUGGAUGUCGUGGUUAAACAAGAGCAACGAAUAGUCUUAAAAUUCGAGAGAAAAUUUGAGGCAAAAUCUGAUUGUAUUAUUCGUUUAUUUGCAGUUUUAUAUUAAAUUUAUUAUCUAUGCACAUGUUCAAUAAAAAGUAGUGUUGCUA